UUUUGAUUUGUGACCUUCAUUACCAAGAGAGCUCACUUAAUGCUUUUAGUUCAGUUCCAGGAGGAUAAGCAGUCAGAUACUGCAGGAAUUAUUUUACAUAGCAUAGUUAUUAACAUGAUUACUCAGAGAAAUUAUAUUAAUAUGCAAGACACUCCAAUACUUCUACGAAAAAGACAGUGUUCUUUAUCACAAUUUUUCCUUUAGCACAGAGAACACAUUCUUAACUAUGUACCGUUAAAAUCCCCGCGUGAAAGUCUCCUCAGCCAAGCAGAAAUGCAUCAUAAAGAGUUCAACAGAGACAGAGAUCACCUAGUUCAUAUUUUGAUUGUUUCUCAUUAUAAACUAAUAUAUGCUAAUUACGCUAAAUUUAGAAAGUAAAAAAUAGUCUAAAUUAAAUAAAACCACCUGUAAUCCCACAUACCCAGAAAUAACCAUAUCAUUUUAAUGUUUCAUCUUUUUCUAUCCAUCUUAAAUGUAUUUGGAGUGUGUAAAUUUUUUUUUUUUUUUUUUUUUUUUUUUUUUUGUCUUUUUGCCUUUUCUAGGGCUGCUCCUGUGGCACAUGGAGGUUCCCAGACCACCUAAUGGGAAGGGCAAAGUCAAAUGGGGGAUGGGGAGAUGGGGGGUUGGGGGGAGGGGGAUAGCAAAGCAGUUCUGCUAUUACCUCCUUAACAACUCUUAAAAAAAAAAAAAAAAAAAAAAAGAUUCCCUACUAAAUAAAUGUCAUUAGAAAAUCCCAGGAUAAGUCCCUGAACUUACCAAAAAGUUUCCAUCCUUCUCCACCAAAGUAUAUAUACUCUUCAUUUCUGGAAAAAAAUAUCUUUUAAACUCUGUCUUUAUUUUCCCUUUCAAGCUACAGAGCUAGAUUAGGGCUCUAACAUUCUGUGUAAGCCAUGCUGUGUCAGUUUGUGAGGGUUGUCCUAACAAAGUACCCCACACUAGGUGGCUUAAACAACAGAAAUCUCACAGUUCUGGAGGCUCACAGUCUGAGUUCAAGGGGUGGGCAAAGGUGAUUCCUUUUGGAGCUGGGAGGGAAAGAUCUGUGCCAGGCCUCUCUCCUUGGCUUGACGAUGGCUGUCUCCAUGUUCAUAUGGUGUUCUUCCUCUAUGCAAGUCUGUCUCCAAAUUUCCUCUAUUCAUAAGGACACCAAUCCUACUGGAUUAGGGCCACAAUAAAAAUAACCUCAUUUUAACUUGGAGAAGACCCUAUCUCCAAAUAACACCGCAUUCUGAGUCCCAACUGGGGGGUAAGAAUUGCAGUCUGUGAAUUUUGGGGAGACACAGUUCAACCCAUAACACAUAAGACUAUUACUACUACUUAUGAAAUUAAUUCAGAUGAACUUUUUAAAAAUGGAACUAAACACUCCCGGAGUUCCUGGCGUGGUGCAGUGGUUAACGAAUCCGACUAGGAACCAUGAGGUUGAGGGUUUGAUCCCUGGCCUUGCUCAGUGGGUUGACGAUCAGGCAUUGCCAUGAGCUGUGGUGUGGGUCGCAGAAGAGGCUCAGAUCUGGAGUUGUUGUGGCUCUGGCAUAGGCGGGCGGCUACAGCUCCGAUUAAACCCCUAGCCUGGGAACUCCAUAUGCUGCGGGAGCGGCCCUAGAAAAGGCAAAAAUGCAAAAAACAAAACAAAAUAAAAAUGGAACUAAACACUCCAAAAUAACUUUGAUGCUUGGUUCCCAGUUAUUCCUGGUUUUAUACAAACCAACAAAGAUACAGAUCCCAGGGACUUUCAAUGACUUUAUUAUAAUAAAACCACAAGAAUCAGAAUAGACUGUGUUUCAACAAAUCAAACUCCAAAUUAUGCAGAGCAGAACUUUACACUGCAGCUUCCACCCUCUGUAACUUAGUCAUUAGAUUAUCUGGAGGCAGAGCAUCCUCCCUGAGAAGUAAAAACUGAACUUCUUACUUGCAGAAAUGGAACAUUCAUGGACAGAAUAAACCACACACAAUAUUGGCUAGAAUACCACCAAAGGUGUCAUGUUUAAAAAAGAGCUCUGAUGGAGACAUUCUAGAACGUAAGACAGAAAAAAAUGUUACUUCCAAAAUUCCUCUUAGGAAGAAGUCAGGAAAAACAAAUUUUUUUGAAAAACCUUUUAGGAUGAAGGGAAAGUUCCAAAACACUCAACUUUUAAAAUGACCAUCUAUGAAGGGAAUGUUUAAAGCUUUUAGCAGAGAGAAGGAAUAGGAUGAUGGGAAGACAAGAAAGGAAGAGAAGCAGGGAAAUGGGAGAACUUGGAGAUUCGAAAGGCUGCAAGGCACAAGAUGGCAUUUCCACUUGAACUCCCAAAUCACCAACAAAUUCAUAAAUGGAAAUGGGGGCUCUGGGAGCUUGAAAGGAGCUGAGCUUUGCACCUAUGUGGGACAAAAUCAGCACUCUCCUAAAGGAGCCAGGAGGUUGGAGCUCCUCAGCUGACUUCUGGGUUACAGGAAAUAACUGUCUAGUUAUCUCCAGAUGCCCUUUAAGGCUCACCUACCCCGGGUACAUCGUGAUUCAUCCCUGCUCGAAGUCAGUGACUAUCCCUGACAAGACAUCUAUGGGACAAUCAGAAAAUCCCUGUCCUCGAAGGGGACAGGUAUUGGGGUGGGGAGGGAUGGACUGGGAGUUUGGGACUGACUUUUGCACACUGUGGUAUAUGGAAUGACUGCCCAAUGGGAACCUGCAUAGUACAGGGAACCCCACCCAAUAGUCUGUGAUAAUCUAUGUGGGAAAAGAAUCUGAAAGAGACUGGAUGUGUGUACAUGUAUAACUGAAUCACUUUGUUGUACAACAGAAAUUAUCACAACAUUGUAAAUCAACUGUAUUUCUUUUGUUUGUUUUUUGUCUUUUUAGGGCUGCACCCAUGGCACAUGGAAGUUUCCAGGCUAGGGGGUCAAAUCAGAGCCGGCCUACGCCAUAGCCACAGCCACACCAGAUCUGAGCCAUGUCUGCAACCUACACCACAGCUCACAGCAACACCAGAUCCUUAAACCACUGAGAAAGACCAGGGAUCGAACCCACAUCCUCGUGGACACUAGUUGGGUUCCCUAACCACUGAGCCACGAUGGGAACUCCAAUUGACUGUAUUUCAAUACAACUUUAAACAAUGAAAAAAAAAUAUUCUAGGCCACCACUCUGCUAGUGCCUUAUGAGAUAAUACUAAAACCUAAUCAACAGUACUAGUUAUAAACACAUUCAAGGCUGGAAAUGGAGAGAAGUGGGUAUAAACCUGAUGGACUUGAUUUUCUUGGUGCAACAGAAAAAAAAAAUCCUUUUACUGAGGGUGAGAGGUAGGAAUAAGAGGGAGAGGUUAAAAAGGGGAGCCUGAAGGGAAAGGUAAGACCUUGGGCUCAUUAUUAAUGACAGAACAUGUACGGAUAAAUUGAUAAUGUCAGGUUCACCUGAGCCAGACUCCCAUGAUAAUGUUAUGGCAACAGCCUACACAGUUGUGUGGUUUUUUCCCAACAGGGUUUAGCAAAUAGAGUCAGGGGGAACAAACAAACUGUAGCAUCGAUCCUGGUUCCAGAUUUUGCAGAGCAAGAUAGUAUAAGCCUACUUAUAUCUUUUGCAGAAGGAUAAGGAUAGCACAGCUAAAGAUGCUGAUCAAGGAAUUGUCUGAAUAAUAAAAUGUGUGCCCUCUACUAGGAUGGAAAGGAAUAGAGGUCAAAAGGGACUGAUUGGUAGAUGUGGAGAAAGGCGAGAAGCUAAGGGAUUAAUGGUCUACUUGAAGUCAAGAAGCAGGUGUGGUGGGAAUGGAAUUAUAAGAGAUUAGGAAGGAAGAAAGGAACAAAUGAACGAAUGAAUGAAGGACACACAUUUAUAGAACUAAAAUCAAAUAGUCAUGGUCACUGGCCAAAAUGGCCUAACAGAAUGUUGACCACAUGCUAUUACUUCUGUAAUUUUACAGAGUCAGUUAUGAACGACCACAUUAAAUGAAUCUACGUUGUAAAAGCUGCGAUGGAAAACCCUUCCAUCAUGUUGCUUCUCUUCAAUUGUUUACACUGUACCUUAUGCUAUGGAAGAUUUGGAUGGUUUACAAAGUUAUAAAAAGAUAGCAUAACAAUAAAUUUAAGAUAAGUAACAGAGAUGGAGCAAUGUGUUAAAAACGUUAGGCAAACAAGAUGGAACCGGAAUUGAGAUUGGUUUAUGAAGCUUAAUGCUGCUGAAGUUAAGAUCAACACAAUAAAUUCUUCUUAGAAUUUGGUGCCAGAUGAAAGUUUUCUCCCAAUACACUGUGUAUUUCCUACUCUUAAACAAGAAGAACUAUUUAACUCAUUUCCUUUCAGAUCCUGACUUCAGGAAACUUGGAAGUAAAUGUUCUCCCAAUUGUAAUAACUAUCCUUAACCCACCUUGUUCUAUCAAAACAAAUACUUUCCGUCAUUAUUUAAAUCUUGUUCUUUAAGUUAAUAGAUUUUUGUGGAAUUUUCCAUUCAUGCUACCUCAAGCACCACUGGAGUAGGGGCAACGCAAAUUUUAAAAUAUAUAUCCAGAAAUCUCAUUCCUAAUAAUGGUCCGCUGGACCUUUACUUAAAACCGCCAGCUCCAUAAUUAAUUUCAAACUCUAAAAACCAUUUCUCAAUUUAUCGCACUCUAAAAUCUUUUUGUCUUGUUUUUUACACUUGGCAGAAUGACACAGUGAAAUAUCCUCCGUGAGUUUGGCCUAUCAUUCCAUUAAUCUGUUUUCGAAGUGGAAUAUCAUUGAUCACAUACUCUGCAUUAGACCUACAAUAAGUUGUACUGCUUAUCAGCACUCUCUACUAUCUGCC
rnacentral:lncRNA from 1 species